rnacentral:rRNA from 1 species
AUUGAACGCUGGCGGCAGGCUUAACACAUGCAAGUCGAGCGGGGGAAGGUAGCUUGCUACCGGACCUAGCGGCGGACGGGUGAGUAAUGCUUAGGAAUCUGCCUAUUAGUGGGGGACAACAUCUCGAAAGGGACGCUAAUACCGCAUACGUCCUACGGGAGAAAGCAGGGGAUCUUCGGACCUUGCGCUAAUAGAUGAGCCUAAGUCGGAUUUGCUAGUUGGUGGGGUAAAGGACUACCAAGGCGACGAUCUGUAGCGGGUCUGAGAGGAUGGUCCGCCACACUGGGACUGAGACACAGCCCAGACUCCUACGGGAGGUAGCAGUGGGGAAUAUUGGACAAUGGGGGGAACCCUGAUCCAGCCAUGCCGCGUGUGUGAAGAAGGCCUUAUGGUUGUAAAGCACUUUAAGCGAGGAGGAGGCUACUUUAGUUAAUACCUAGAGAUAGUGGACGUUACUCGCAGAAUAAGCACCGGCUAACUCUGUGCCAGCAGCCGCCGUAA